rnacentral:rRNA from 1 species
UUUCUCCGCCGGGCGACCGGCGCACGGGUGAGUAACACGUAUGCAACCUGCCCCUGUCAGGGGGACAACCCGCCGAAAGGCGGGCUAAACCCGCGUACAUGCCACCGGGGCAUCCCGGAGGCAGGAAAGGCUUCGGCCGGACAGGGAUGGGCAUGCGGCGCAUUAGGCAGUAGGCGGGGUAACGGCCCACCUAACCGACGAUGCGUAGGGGUUCUGAGAGGAAGGUCCCCCACCACUGGUACUGAGACACGGACCAGACUCCUACGGGAGGCAGCAG